AGCUCUUGUUCCUCUACACUCUUGAACUAUUAAGUGAGAUUAAGUGCUCAGGGAGUGGAGUUAUUUAACCUCUCUCAUAUUAUAAAUUCAUCCAACAACAACUGCAAUGGUGUAUUAAGUGUAUUUAAAAACAUAAUAAAACACUUUACCUUCUGUUUUCAGAACUGCAGUGCAAGAUCAGCAUUUUACCCUGGGUAGUGAUAAGAAAGAGCUUUUGAACACCCAUUACACUGCACAAGUGUGUGGGGAACUGCUCCUCAUUAAUUUAGAGUGGAGGGAAUUUUUGAACCCUGGAAGACAGACUAGGUAUGAUUGGAAGAACUGACCCAUCGAGGAGAUGGUUGUGCUUAUCAGAGAAGGACAGAAUAAUGAAGUUCUUCAGAAUGGGCUUCUGGAGACAAGAGAUAAAGAAGCAUCAAUCACUGGCAGAAAGACAAACUGAAACAGAGAGGUGAUCUUACCAUAUGAUAUGACGUUUUGUAGCAAUAUUAUAAAUACUGUAAGAAAUUUCAA